AGUGAACGCUGGCGGUAGGCCUAACACAUGCAAGUCGAACGGCAGCACAGUAAGAGCUUGCUCUUACGGGUGGCGAGUGGCGGACGGGUGAGGAAUACAUCGGACUCUACUUUUUCGUGGGGGAUAACGUAGGGAAACUUACGCUAAUACCGCAUACGACCUACGGGUGAAAGCAGGGGAUCUUCGGACCUUGCGCGAUUGAAUGAGCCGAUGUCGGAUUAGCUAGUUGGCGGGGUAAAGGCCCACCAAGGCGACGAUCCGUAGCUGGUCUGAGAGGAUGAUCAGCCACACUGGAACGGAGACACGGUCCAGACUCCUACGGGAGGCAGCAGUGGGAAAUAUUGGACAAUGGGCGCAAUCCUGAUCCAGCCAUACCGCGUGGGUGAAGAAGGCCUUCGGGUUGUAAAGCCCUUUUGUUGGGAAAGAAAAGCAGCAGGUUAAUACCCCGCUGUUCUGACGGUACCCAAAGAAUAAGCACCGGCUAACUUCGUG
rnacentral:rRNA from 1 species